AACUUCACAAAUUAAUGCUUAAAACACAUUUUUUAUUUAAAAAUAUGUUAAAUUACACAUUGUGAGCUUAAUUAUAAAAUUAUAACUUAAUUAUGGCUUAAUUAUGACUUAAUUAUGACUUAAUUAUGACUUAAUUAUGACUUAAUUAUAUAUUAUAAAUCAUUGUACAUUAAUUAACCUUUUAUAUACAUAAAAAUAAAUUUAUAUAUACAUAUACGUACGUAAUUAUCUAGUAAAUUACACUAAUUUGUAUUAUAUCAAUUUGUUAUAUUUUAGUAAAACAUAAACUUUCUUUUUUAUUUCUAUUUUGACAUUUUUCAUUUAUUUACUCCCUUUUAAUUAUAUGCAGAACAUAACAAAAUUAAAUUAAAAUAGAAAGAAAAGAAUAACACAUUUCUAUACAUUAAGUAUUUGUUUUCUUUUGAGAAAAAUGUUUUAACAAAAUUUUAAUUACACAGUACUUUAUAUAUAUGUAUAUGUUCCCAAUUAAAUAUUGUAUUAAUAAAAAACAUAUAUCACUGUUAAUAUAUAUAUAUAUAUAUAUAUAUAUAUAUAUAUAUAUAUAUAUAUAUAUAUAUAUAUAUAUACAUAUAUAUUAACAGUGUUUUAAUUGAAAUAAACACAUUAAAAAUACGCUUUACAAGCAGUAAGUCAAAACCAAACAGUCACAAAGUGUUCUUUUUUCAUACAAAUAUGAAAUCUAUACAACAAAUGAACUUUGAAGGAGGGUUUAGGAAUCUAACAAAGAAUGCCUUUUGGACAAAAAAAACAAAUGAUGAAAAAAAAGAUAAUGGAAGAACUAAUUUAAAUAAACAAAGAGGGAUGACAACAAAACCUCAUGCUGGUGUGGUAAAUAACAAUUUUCAAUUUUUAGAUUCCAAACAUUUAGAAAUGUUAGAUUUAAAUAAAAAUAUUGUAAAUAUGUUACCAAAACCAAUGAAGCCAUUAAUAAAUUUGGAAAACUUAUGCAAAGAAACUACUGAAGCUGCUAUACAGAAUAGAAGUAAACUAACAGGUUUAAAUGCACAGAAGAGUGGAAUCCGAGAGCAAAGAGAUCAGUUAAAACAAGAAACAUAUAAUUACGUAAACAAUAUUUAUACAUUAGAAAAUCAAGGAAAUAAUAUAGGUACAUAUAUUCAACCAUUAUAUAAUAGCAAAAGUUUUGAUGUGAAAGGAAAUGCACCCAAUCAAUUUUCUCCUUUUGGAUCUGCAUCUCCUUUUUUUUUUUUUUUUCUAUUUUAUUUUUUUUUUUUUUUUGUGUAAAGCUUUUUAAAAUCUUUAAUACAUAUAUAUAUAUAUAUAUAUAUGUAUUUUUCUGCAAUUUAUUAAAAAAAAAAAUUAACAUAAACAUUUUUAGUUACUGUAAGUUGACAAUAAAAGAAAAAAUUUCACCUAAUAUAUUAUUUAU
rnacentral:lncRNA from 1 species